rnacentral:rRNA from 1 species
AUUGAACGCUGGCGGCAUGCUUUACACAUGCAAGUCGAACGGCAGCGCGGGCUUCGGCCUGGCGGCGAGUGGCGAACGGGUGAGUAAUGCAUCGGAACGUGCCCAGUAGUGGGGGAUAGCCCGGCGAAAGCCGGAUUAAUACCGCAUACGACCUGAGGGUGAAAGCGGGGGACCGAAAGGCCUCGCGCUAUUGGAGCGGCCGAUGUCGGAUUAGCUAGUUGGUGGGGUAAUGGCUUACCAAGGCGACGAUCCGUAGCUGGUCUGAGAGGACGACCAGCCACACUGGGACUGAGACACGGCCCAGACUCCUACGGGAGGCAGCAGUGGGGAAUUUUGGACAAUGGGGGCAACCCUGAUCCAGCCAUGCCGCGUGCGGGAAGAAGGCCUUCGGGUUGUAAACCGCUUUUGUUCGGGAAGAAAUCCUCUGGGCUAAUACCCCGGGGGGAUGACGGUACCGGAAGAAUAAGCACCGGCUAACUACGUG